GUCCUCUUACCUUUGAGUCUUUAGUUUGUGUCUUAUAAUGAAUUAGGAGGGAAGUUAGUGAAGAGGACAAGAGCUGCUUUAGGAGAAGGAUUGAGAGAAGUAGUAAACUUCAUCUGAUUUUGACUCUUUGGAAGCACCGGCAACACCCGGAUUUGACCUCAUCAACGCCGGCCACCGCUACUUUCAGCCUUCAACCGAAUGCACCUGCCGUUUCUCGCAUCGAUCUACUGAGCUUCACCAACAGCAGCGCAUGCUGCCUUUGUUCUUCGUCCCGACAGCAUCGAACACCAACAGCAGCGCCUGCUGCCUUUGUUCUUCGUCUCGACAACAUCGAACACCAACAGCAGCGCCUGCUGCCUUUGUUUUUCGUUCCAACAGCAUCUAACAGCAACAGCAGCAAGGCUGCCUGCGUUUUGGCGUUUAUCGGACCUCUCGACAGCAGCAAAAAAGCUGUCUACGACUGCGUUUUCAGACCAGCAUCAACAACUGCCAGCGUCGCCCUCGACCUCUCCGCGCCUCGGACUGCACCGGACAGCAGCAGCAGUCGCUGCUGUGCCGCACCAGACAGCAACCAGGCACUGCUGUGCCUUUUCUCGCAGCGUGUAGCUGCUGUGUUUCGCUAGCCACAGCUGCUGUUAGGCUGUUCCUUCGUCUGCAUCGCCAAACAGCAGACCCCCCUGCUGUGUUUCUUUUCGCAUCUAGACAGCCGCAGUCACGGCUGUCCUACCCUUUGUAAUCCUUCGAUUAUUUUGGGUGCAUUUCCAUCUAUCCUAGAUUCAAAGACUUGGGAUUUCUCCUAAAUUCCCCAAGGUUCCUUUAGCGGUGGGGCUCUAAAGGGUUGAAAGGAGCGUUGGUUCGUGAAAGGCUCUUUUGUAAUUAAAGCCUUUUUACUUUUGAACGUUGCGUUUUUGACGUUACGACUAUUUGGAGAUUAAUAGAAAUACCCGUCUCUAGAUAUAGAAAAAUCUAGAUUAGUAGGUUGUUAUUUAUAUUCUCUGUAGCGGAAUUGUAAACGCUUUACUAUUUCCCUUUGUUGGGUGAAUUUCAAUUCCAGAAUCCGGGUUCUCG